UCAUUACCGAGUUUUCAACUCCCAAACCCUUUUGUGAACAUACCUAUCGUUGCUUCGGCGGACUCGCCCCAGCGUCCGGCCGGCCCCGCGCCGGCCGCGGCCUGGAUCCAGGCGGCCGCCGGAGACCCCCAAACUCUGUAUUCUCAGUAUCUUCUGAAUCCGCCGCAAGGCAAAACAAAUGAAUCAAAACUUUCAACAACGGAUCUCUUGGUUCUGGCAUCGAUGAAGAACGCAGCGAAAUGCGAUAAGUAAUGUGAAUUGCAGAAUUCAGUGAAUCAUCGAAUCUUUGAACGCACAUUGCGCCCGCCAGCAUUCUGGCGGGCAUGCCUGUUCGAGCGUCAUUUCAACCCUCGACUUCCCUUUGGGGAAAUCGGCGUUGGGGACCGGCCGUAUACCGCCGGCCCCGAAAUGAAGUGGCGGCCCGUCCGCGGCGACCUCUGCGUAGUAAUCCAACUCGCACCGGAACCCCGACGUGGCCACGCCGUAAAACCCCCGACUUCUGAACGUUGACCUCGGAUCAGGUAGGAAUACCCGCUGAACUUAAGCAUAU
rnacentral:rRNA from 1 species